UUGUGCAAUAUUCCCCACUGCUGCCUCCCGUAAGAGUCUGGGCCGUGUCUCAAUCCCAGUGGGGCCGGUCGCCCUCUCAGGCCGGCUACCCGUCGUCGCCUUGGUGAGCCACUACCUCACCAACAAGCUGAUAGGCCGCGGGCUCAUCCUGCACCGCCGGAGCUUUACACCAUCCACCAUGCGGCAGACGGUCAUAUCCGGUAUUAGACCCCGUUUCCAGGGCUUGUCCCAGAGUGCAGGGCAGAUUGCCCACGUGUUACUCACCCGUUCGCCACUAAUCCCCGCCCGAAAGCGGUUCAUCGUUCGACUUGCAUGUGUUAAGCACGCCGCCUGCGUUCGUCCUGAGCCAGGAUCAAACU
rnacentral:rRNA from 1 species